AGUCAUAUGCUUGUCUCAAAGAUUAAGCCAUGCAUGUCUCAGUACAAGCCUAAUUAAGGUGAAACCGCGAAAGGCUCAUUAAAUCAGUUAUGGUUCCUUAGAUCGUACCCACACUUACUCGGAUAACUGUGGUAAUUCUAGAGCUAAUACGUGCAAACAGAGCUCCGACCGGAGACGGAAGGAGCGCUUUUAUUAGAUCAAAACCAAUCGGCGGCGGGCUCGCUCGCCGUCGUCACGCUUGGUGAAUCUGAAUAACUUUCUGCUGAUCGCAUGGUCUCGCACCGGCGACGCAUCUUUCAAAUGUCUGCCUUAUCAACUGUCGAUGGUAGGUUCUGCGCCUACCAUGGUUGUAACGGGUAACGGGGAAUCAGGGUUCGAUUCCGGAGAGGGAGCCUGAGAAACGGCUACCACAUCCAAGGAAGGCAGCAGGCGCGCAAAUUACCCACUCCCGGCACGGGGAGGUAGUGACGAAAAAUAACGAUACGGGACUCAUCCGAGGCCCCGUAAUCGGAAUGAGUACACUCUAAACCCUUUAACGAGGAUCAAUUGGAGGGCAAGUCUGGUGCCAGCAGCCGCGGUAAUUCCAGCUCCAAUAGCGUAU
rnacentral:rRNA from 1 species